ensembl:lncRNA
AUUCCAUUUAUGGCAUUAUAUAUAAUAAUGUAAAUUUUAACAACAGCUGAAGUAUUCAAAUAAACUGAGGUUUGUCUUCCAUAGAAAUAAGCAGUCAGAAGACUAUAUUUUUAAUAGAAGUAUAGUGGAUUUAUGUGUUUUCUCAGGUAUACAGCAGUGAUUCACUCCACGAAUAUAUAUUUUUCUUUUUCAGAUUCUUUUUCAUUAUAGGUUAUUAAAAAAUAUAGUUCCCCACGCUAUACAGUGGGUUGUUGUUGAUUAUCUAUUUUAUAUAAUCCCAGAUUACUAAUUUAUCUCCCCACCUUCCCCCUCUGGUAAGCAUAGAUUUGUUUUCUGUCUGUGGGUCUAUAUCUAUUUUGUAAAUAAGUCAUUUGUAUCUUUUUUUUUCUCACAUUCCACAUAGAAGUGAUAUCAUAUUUGUCUUUCUGACUUAUUUCACUUUCCAUGAUAAUCGCUAAGACCAACCAUGUUGCUGCAAAUAGCAUUAUAUCAUUUUUUUUUCUUUUGAGGGCUGCAGGUGUGGCAUAUGGAACUUCCCAGGCUAGGAUUGAAUUGGAGCUGCAGCUGCUGCCAUCACCAAAGCCAUAGCAACACAGGAUCCAAGCCAUGUGUGCAACCUGUACCAUAGCUCACUGCAACAGCGGAUCCUUAAUCCAUUGAGCAAGGCCAGGGAUUGAAACUACAUCCUCUUGGAUACUAGUCAGGUUUGUCCCCACUGAGCUGCAGUGGGAAUUCCUAUAUCAUUCUUUUUUAUGGCUGAGUAAUACUCCAUUGUAGAUGUCUUUAUCCAUUCAUUUGUCAAUGGACAUCUAGGUUACUUACAUGUCUUGGCUAUUAUAAAUAGUGCUGCUUGAGUAUUGGGGUGCAUGUAUCUUUUUCAAUCAUAUUUUUUUUUCCAGAUAUACACCCUGGAGUGGGAUUACAGGAUCAUAUAGUAACUAUUUUUAGUUUUUUAAGGAAUCUCCAUACUAUUCUCUAUAGUGGCUGUAACCGUUUUAUGUUUCUACCAACAGUGUUAGAGAGUUCCUUUUUCUCCACACCCUCUCCAGUAUUUAUUAUUUGUAGACUUUUAAAAUUAAAUUUCAUUGGGGUGCAGUUGAUUUAUAAUGCUGUGGUAGUUUUAGGUGUAAAGCAAAAUAUAGACUUUUUAAUGAUUGUCAUUCUGACCAUAGUGAGGUGAUACCUCAUUGUAGUUUUGAUUUAAUCUCUCUAAUAAGAGUUCUGUUGUGGUGCAGCAGAAGGAUCAAACCCGCAACCUCAUGGUUCCUAAUCAGAUUCAUUAACCACUGAGCCACAACGGGAACUCCCCCAAAAAUUUAAAAGUUUUAAAAAUCCUCUAAUAAUUAGCAGUGUUUAGCAUUUUUUCAUGCGCCUAUUGGCCAUCUAUAUGUCUUCUUUAGAUAAAUGUCAGUUUAGCUCUUCUGCCCAUUUUUUGAUUGGGUUGUUUGUUUACUGUUGAACUGUACAAGCUGUUUAUAUAUUUCAGAAAUUAAUUCCUUGUCACAUUGUUUGCAGAUAUUUUCUCUUAUUCAGUAGGUUGUCUUUUCAUUUUGUAUAUGGUUUCCUUUGCUGUGCAAAAGCUUUUAAGCUUAAUUAGGUCUCAUUAGUUUAUUUUUAUUUUAAAAAUGACUCUAGGAGGGGGAUCCAAAAAGAUAUUGCUGUGAUUUAUGUCAAUAUGUGUUCUGCCUAUGUUUUCCUCUAGGAGUUUUAUAAUAUUUGGUCUUACAUUUAGGUCUUUCAUCCAUUUUGAGUUUAUUUUUGUGUGUGGUAUUAGAGAAUGUUAGAGAAUAUUCUAUUUCAUUCUUUUACAAGUAGCUGUCCAGUUUUCCCAGCAACACUUAUUGAAGAGACUGUCUUUUUUCCACUAUGUAUUCUUGCCUCCUUUGUUAAUUGACCAUGAGUGUGUGAGUUUAUUUUGGGCUGUCUUUUUUCUGUUUCAUUGAUCUAUAUGUCUGCUUUUGUGCCAGUACCAUACUGUUUUGAUAACUCUAGCUUUGUAAUAUAGUCUAAUAAAGUCAGGGAGCCUGAUUCUUCCAGCUCCAUUUUAUUUUCUCAAUUUUGCUUUGGCUAUUCAGGGUCUUUUGUGUUUCCAUACCAGUUUACAAAUUUUUUGUUCUAGUUCUGUGAAACAUACCAUUGGUAAUUUGAUAAAGAUUGCCUUGAACCUGUAGAUUGCUUUGGUUAGUAGAGUCAUUUUGACACUAUUGAUUCUUCCAGUCCAAGAACAUGGUAUAUCAUUCUGUCUGUGUCAUCUUCAGUUUCUUUCAUCAGUGUCUUACAGUUUUCAGAGUACGUGUCUUUUGCCUCCUUCAGUAGGUUUAUUCCUAGGUGUUUUAUUCUUGUUGAUGUGAUGAUAAAUAGGAUUAUUUACUUAAUUUCUCUUUCUGAUCUUUUGUUAGUGUAUAGAAAUGCAACAGAUUUCUGUGUAUUACUUUUGUAUUUUGCAGCUUUACUAACAUCAUUGAUGAGCUCUAGUAGUUUUCUGGUAGCAUCAUUAAUAUUUUCUAUGUAUAGUAUCAUGUCAUCUGCAAACAUCAGCACUUUUACUUCUUUUCCAAUUUGGAUUCCUUUUAUUUCUUUUUCUUUUCUGAUCGCCAUGGCUAGGCCUCUAAAAUUAUGUUGAAUUAAAGUGGCGAGUCUGGACAUCCUUGUCUUUAUGAUUUUAGAGGAAAUGCUUUUGCUCUUCACUGCUGAAAAUGUUAGCUGUGGGUUUGUCAUAUAUGGCCUUUAUUAUUUUGAGAUAGAAUCCCACUUAUGCCCACUUUCUGGAGAGUUCUAAUAAAUGGAUGUUGAAUUUUAUCAAAAGCUUUUUUUCUGGGAGUUCCCAUUGUGGCGAAGCACAAAAGAAUCCAACUAGUAUCCAUGAGGAUGUGGUUCUAUCCCUGGCCUCGCUUGGUGGAUAAGGAAUCUGGCUUUUCCUUGAGCUGUGUGUAGGUUGCAGACAUGGCUUGGAUCCUGCGUGGCUGUGGCUGUGGUUGGCAGCUGUAGCUCCAGUUCAACCCAUAUCCUGGGAACUUCCAUAUGCUGCUGGUGCAGCCCUAAAAAAACAAACAAAAAGCUUUUUCUGCACCUAUUGAGAUGAUCAUAUGGUUUUUAAUUCUUUAAUUUUUAUUCAUGUGGUGUAUUAUGUUGAUUGAUUUCCAGAUAUUGAAAAAUCCUUGCAUCCCUAGAUAAAUCCCACUUGAUCAUGGUGUAUAAUUCUUUUCAUGUAUUGUUGGAUUCAAUUUGCAAGUAUUUUGUUGAGGACUUUUGCAUCUCUGUUCAUAAAUGAUAUGGACCUGUAAUUUUAUUUUCUUUGUGGUAUAUUUGUCUGGUUUUGUAUCACGAUGAUAAUGACCUCAUAAUGAGUUUGGAAGUGUUCCUUCCUCUGCAAAUUUUUGGAAUAGUUUCAGAAAGAUAAGUAUUAACUAUUUUCUGAAUAUUUGAUAGAAUUCACCUGUAAAAGCAUCUCUGGUUCUGGUCUUUUGUUUGUUGGGAGUUUUUAAAUCAUAGAUUUAAUUAAGUACUUGUGAUUGGUCUGUUCAUUUUUCUAUUUCUUUCUGAUUCAGUCUUGGGAGAUUGUACCUUUCUAAGAAUUUGUCCAUUUCUUCUAGGUUGUCCAUUUUAUUGACAUAGAGUUGCUUGUAGUAGUCUCCUAGAUUCCUUUGUAUUUCUGUGUUGUUGGUUGUAACUUCUCUUUCAUUUCUAAUUUUAUUAUUUGGGCCCUCUCCCUUUUAAUCUUGAUGAGUUUGGCUAAAGGUAUCAAUUUUGUUUAUCUUUCCAAAGAACUAUCUUUUAGUUUCAUUGACCUUUUCCAUUGUUUUAUUAGUCUCUAUCUCAUUUAUUUCUUCUUUGAUCUAUUGAUUUCUUUCCUUCUACUCACUUUGGGUUUUGUUUGUUCUUCUUUCUCUAGUUGCUUUAGGUGUAAAGUUAGGUUCUUUAUUUGAGAUUUUUCUUGUUUCCUGAGGUAAGCUUCUAUUGAUAUCAACUCCCCUCUUAGAACUGUUUUAGCUGUGUUCCAUAGAUUUUGGAUUGAGAAGACUACUGUUUAUAAAGAAUUCACAACUUGAAAUGUUUUGAAGUAAAAAGCAAAAUAUAAAAUUACUGUGCUCUAGAAGCACAACUAUAUAAACAAAUGAAGCAAACUAAAAAAUAU